rnacentral:rRNA from 1 species
UACGUAGGUGACGAGCGUUAUCCGGAAUUACUGGGCGUAAAGCGCACGCAAGCGGUCUGACAAGUCUGGCGUGAAAUCCUCUGGCUUAACCAGGGGCGGUCGCUGGAGACUGUUAGGCUUGAGGCGAUGGGAGGGGUGCAGAAUUCCCGGUGUAGUGGUGGAAUGCGUAGAGAUCGGGAGGAAUACCAGUGGCGAAAGCGGCACCCUGGCGUCGGCCUGACGCACAUGUGCGAAAGCGUGGGGAGCGAACGGG